rnacentral:rRNA from 1 species
GACGAACGCUGGCGGCGUGCCUAAUACAUGCAAGUAGAACGCUGAAGGAGGAGCUUGCUUCUCUGGAUGAGUUGCGAACGGGUGAGUAACGCGUAGGUAACCUGCCUGGUAGCGGGGGAUAACUAUUGGAAACGAUAGCUAGUACCGCAUAAUAGCAGUUGUUGCAUGACAACUGUUUGAAAGGUGCAAUUGCCCCACUACCAGAUGGACCUGCGUUGUAUUAGCUAGUUGGUGGGGUAACGGCUCACCAAGGCGACGAUACAUAGCCGACCUGAGAGGGUGGUAGGGCAAAAUGGGAAUGGAAAAAGGGCCAAGAUCCUAAGGGAGGGAGCAGUAGGGAAUCUUCGGCAAUGGACGGAAGUCUGACCGAGCAACGCCGCGUGAGUGAAGAAGGUUUUCGGAUCGUAAAGCUCUGUUGUAAGAGAAGAACGAGUGUGAGAGUGGAAAGUUCACACUGUGACGGUAUCUUACCAGAAAGGGACGGCUAACUACGUG